rnacentral:rRNA from 1 species
UACGAAGGGGGCUAGCGUUGCUCGGAAUCACUGGGCGUAAAGCGCACGUAGGUGGGUCGUUAAGUCAGGGGUGAAAUCCCGAGGCUCAACCUCGGAACUGCCUUUGAUACUGCAAAUCUCGAGUCCGGAAGAGGUGAGUGGAAUUCCUAGUGUAGAGGUGAAAUUCGUAGAUAUUAGGAAGAACACCAGUGGCGAAGGCGGCUCACUGGUCCGGUACUGACGCUGAGGUGCGAAAGCGUGGGGAGCAAACAGG